AUACGUAGGUGGCAAGCGUUGUCCGGAAUUAUUGGGCGUAAAGCGCGCGCAGGUGGGAUCUUAAGUCCAUUUUAAAGUUCGGAGCUCAACUCCGUGAUGGGAUGGAAACUGGGAUUCUUGAGUAUCGGAGAGGAAAGCGGAAUUCCCCGUGUAGCGGUGAAAUGCGUAGAUAUGGGGAGGAGCACCAGUGGCGAAGGCGGCUUUCUGGACGAUGUCUGACACUGAGGCGCGAAAGUGCGGGGAGC
rnacentral:rRNA from 1 species